rnacentral:rRNA from 1 species
CCUACGGGAGACAGCAGUGGGGAAUAUUGGGCAAUGGGCGCAAGCCUGACCCAGCAACGCCGCGUGAAGGAAGAAGGCUUUCGGGUUGUAAACUUCUAUUAGUGAGGAAGAAAAAAAUGACGGUACUCAAUGAAUAAGCGACGGCUAACUACGUGCCAGCAGCGGCGGUAAUACGUAGGUGGCAAGCGUUAUCCGGAUUUACUGGGUGUAAAGGGCGAGUAGGCGGGACUGCAAGUCAGAUGUGAAACCCCUUGGCUCAACCCAUGGCCUGCAUUUGAAACUGUAGUGCUUGAGUGCUGGAGCGGCAUGCGGAAUUCCUUGUGUAGCGGUGAAAUGCGUAGAUAUUCGGAGGAACACCAGUGGCGCAGGCGGCCUGCUGGACUUUAACUGACGCUGAGGCUCGAAAGCGUGGGGAGCAAACAGGAUUAGAUACCCCAGUAGUC